CGCCGCGUGCGGGAUGACGCUUUUCGGAGUGUAAACCGCUUUUCUUGGGGAAGAUGGAGGACGGUACCCGAGGAAGAAGGCCCGGCUAACUACGUGCCAGCAGCCGCGGUAAUACGUAGGGGCCGAGCGUUGUCCGGAGUUAUUGGGCGUAAAGCGCGCGCAGGCGGCUUCGCGCGCCCGACGUGAAAGCCCCCGGCUUAACCGGGGAGGGUCGUUGGGGACGGCGGAGCUUGAGGGCGGUAGAGGGUGGUGGAAUUCCCGGUGUAGUGGUGAAAUGCGUAGAGAUCGGGAGGAACACCUGUGGCGAAGGCGGCCACCUGGGCCGACCCUGACGCUGAGGCGCGAAGGCGUGGGGAGCGAACGGGAUUAGAUACCCCGGUAGUCCACGCAGUAAACGAUGCAGACUAGGCGUGGGUGGACUUGACCCCAUCCGUGCCGGAGCUAACGCGGGAAGUCUGCCGCCUGGGGAGUACGGCCGCAAGGCUAAAACUCAAAGGAAUUG
rnacentral:rRNA from 1 species